rnacentral:misc_RNA from 1 species
AACAAGGCGUACCUGCGGACCUGCGGAGGGAUCAUUACCGAGUGUGGUCCCAUAAGGGGCGCCUCCCGUCCUUUGCAGGGCCUUUAGGGGCUUUUUGACUUUGCUUCGGCGGGCUUGCCCCGCCGGAACACCCUCAAGAAAAUCUUUAUGAACCGUUUGUCUGAGUUGCUUGCGAAUAAAACAAAACUUUCAGCAACGGAUCU